rnacentral:rRNA from 1 species
GUGAGGAAUAUUGGUCAAUGGGCGGGAGCCUGAACCAGCCAAGUCGCGUGAAGGAAGAAGGAUCUAUGGUUCGUAAACUUCUUUUGCAGGGGAAUAAAGUGCAGGACGUGUCCUGUUUUGUAUGUACCCUGAGAAUAAGGAUCGGCUAACUCCGUGCCAGCAGCCGCGGUAAUACGGAGGAUCCGAGCGUUAUCCGGAUUUAUUGGGUUUAAAGGGUGCGCAGGCGGGUUGAUAAGUCAGCGGUGAAAGUUUGCAGCUUAACUGUAAAAUUGCCGUUGAAACUGUCGAUCUUGAGUGCAAAUGAGGUAAGCGGAAUGUGUUGUGUAGCGGUGAAAUGCUUAGAUAUAACACAGAACACCGAUUGCGAAGGCAGCUUACUGGGAUGCAACUGACGCUCAUGCACGAAAGCGUGGGGAUCAAACAGGAUUAGAAACCCCGGUAGUCC